rnacentral:rRNA from 1 species
GACAGAGGUGCCGAGCGUUAGGCGGAAUCACUGGGUUUAAAGGGUGCGUGGGCGGGUAAGUAAGUCCGUGGUGAAAUCUCUGAGCUUAACUCAGAAACUGCCGUGGAUACUAUUUGCCUUGAAUAUUGUGGAGGUGAGCGGAAUAUGUCAUGUAGCGGUGAAAUGCUUAGAUAUGACAUAGAACACCAAUUGCGAAGGCAGCUCACUACACAAUCAUUGACGCUGAGGCACGAAAGCGUGGGGAUCAAACAGG